UGUGUACAACAGAUGACUUAAUGAAACGCUUCCCAGGUACGUUGCGGUGAUGUAUUUUCUCUCCAGUGUGAAUCCUCUCAUGUUUUUUCAGAUCUCUUGUCUGACUGAAUCUCUUGACACAGUGUGAACACUUGUAAGGUUUCUCUCCAGUGUGGAUCCUCUCAUGUGUUUUCAGAUUUGAUGAAUUACUGAAUCUCUUGACACAGUGUGAACACUUGUAAGGUUUCUCUCCAGUGUGAAUCCUCUCAUGUCUUUUCAGAGUUGAUGAAUCACUGCAUUUCUUGUCACAGUGUGAACACUUGUAAGGUUUCUCUCCAGUGUGGAUCCUCUCAUGUGUUUUCAGUUGUGAUAAAUGACUGAAUCUCUUGUCACAGUGUGAACACUUGUAAGGUUUAUCUCCAGUGUGAAUCCUCUCAUGUGUUUUCA